UACGGAGGGUGCAAGCGUUGUUCGGAAUCAUUGGGCGUAAAGCGCGUGUAGGCGGCUAGGCAAGUCAGUUGUGAAAGCCCGGGGCCCAACCCCGGAACUGCAUCUGAAACUGCCUGGCUGGAGUCCCGGAGAGGAAGGCAGAAUUCCCGGUGUAGGGGUGAAAUCCGUAGAUAUCGGGAGGAAUACCAGCGGCGAAGGCGGCCUUCUGGACGGUGACUGACGCUGAGACGCGAAAGCGUGGGGAGCAAACAGG
rnacentral:rRNA from 1 species